UUUUUCAGGAACGGUCAUCAAAGAUUCAGUGUGCUUGGUUAUUGGUGUUCCUGGCAGGUUCUUCUGUUCUUUUAUAUUACUCCUUUCAUUCUCAAUCACUUUAUUACAGCUUAAUUUUCUUAAAUCCUACACUGGACCAGUUGAGCUUCUGGGAAGUUCUUUGGAUUGUUGGAAUUACAGACUUCAUUCUGAAGUUCUUCUUCAUGGGUUUAAAAUGCCUAAUUUUAUUGGUGCCUUCUUUCAUCAUGCCUUUUAAAUCAAAGGGUUACUGGUACAUGCUUUUAGAAGAAUUAUGUCAGUGUUACCGAAUUUUUGUCCCCAUACCAGUUUGGUUUCGGUACCUUAUAAGCUAUGGGGAAUUUGGUAAUGUAUCUAGAUGGAGUCUUGGGAUAUUGCUGGCUUUACUCUACCUCAUACUAAAAGUAAGUAAUAUUAUAGCCCUGGCAGUGUAA